rnacentral:misc_RNA from 1 species
UCCCGGUUGGCCCGGGCAGUCUCGUAUGAAAAAUUCAACAUACGAUAAGGGUUGCGCUCGUUGCGGGACUUAACCCAACAUCUCACGACACGAGCUGACGACGGCCAUGCAGCACCUGUCACUAGGCUCCAAAAGGCACUCCACCGUUUCUGGCGGAUUCCUAGGAUGUCAAACCUUGGUAAGGUUCUACGUGUAGCGUCGAAUUAAACCACAUCAUCCUCUGCUUGUGCGGGUCCCCGUCAAUUCCUUUGAGUUUUAAGCUUGCGCUCGUACUCCCCAGGCGGCACACUUAUCGCGUUAGCUUCUCAGCACAGGGGGUCGAUACCCCAUACUAAUAGUGUGCAUCGUUUACGGCGUGGACUAC